GGCCUCCUGGUGCUUACCACAGGCUGUGUUCUGUAUACCAACUGUCUAGAGAGAGCAUAGCAAUCCCAUUCUCUCUUCACCUCAGGUAAGGCUCUUUUUCUGGUCUACAUUGUAAAUUUGUGAUCAUAA